AUUGAACGCUGGCGGCAGGCCUAACACAUGCAAGUCGAACGAGUGGCGGACGGGUGAGUAAUGUCUGGGAAAAUGCCUGAUGGAGGGGGAUAACUACUGGAAACGGUAGCUAAUACCGCAUACCAUCAGAUGUGCCCCGAUGGGAUUAGUUUGAUGGUGGGGUAACGGCGCACCAAGGCAACGAUCCCUAGCUGGUCUGAGAGGAUGACCAGCCACACUGGCACUGAGGCACGGUCCAGACUCCUACGAAGGGCAGCAGUGAGGAAUAUAGCACAAUGGGCGCAAGCCUGAUGCAGCCAUGCCGCGUGUAUGAAGAGGGCCUUCGGGUUGUAAAGUACUUUCAGCGGGGAGGCGUUACCCGCAGAAGAAGCACCGGCUAACUCCGUGCCAGCCGCCGCGGUAAUUC
rnacentral:rRNA from 1 species